rnacentral:lncRNA from 1 species
AUUAUUAAUAAAACACAAUUCUUUCUUUUUUUAUUUUUAUAUAUUCUUAUAAACAUUAGUCAAUUACAUAGAGCUAUCAUAUUUUUUUAAUUGGAAGGCGGAUAGAAAUUAGGGUUAUCCAACGCAUCGGAACAACAUUCAUAUAUCAUGGGAUAUCAACAUCUUUGUCGCCGUUACUUCUUUCCCCGUGUUUUACCUGUCCCUUCAUAAUUUUUACUUUUUACCAUUUAUACAUGCAUGGAUAUUUCAUUGUUAUUCUACUUAUUUGGAUUGGAUUUACUAUUCUUUUUCCGCAGAAUAUUCUAACGAAAAUUGUACAGUUGUACAGCGUCCGGAUAUGUACGAUGUGGUAAAACUACCAACAAUCUCGCCAAAUUCGUCAGAUUUGUCGAGAGAUUUGUACACAUGAAUGAAAUAGUUGUCACUUGACGUUUAACUACAAACAAAAUCAAUCAACCGACAUAAUAGAUUAACAGUAUACUAUUACCAGAAGAGAACCUCAAAUACAUUUUUUAUUAAAUAUCACAAAUGAAUUCAGUCAUGUCAGUGUUGGUACAUGUACUUGGUAGAUAUGGCACAAAAUGUGCACCCGAAUAUAGGUAUCUUGUUUUGUUACCCCCAUUGAAGCAAUGGUUACAUUGGUUACAUUGGUUACACACAUGGACCUUAAGUAAAUGAUAUGCAAUAGUGACUUUAUCUUUUGCAAACUGUACAUGCAUGGCUGUCCAUGGGGAAUCCAGUAAAAAUUUGUAACAAGCCUGGGAAAGUCGGGUUACAAU